UACGGGGGGAGCAAGCGUUGUUCGGAAUUACUGGGCGUAAAGGGCGCGUAGGCGGCCUUCUAAGUCAGACGUGAAAUCCCCCGGCUUAACCUGGGAACUGCGUCUGAUACUGGGAGGCUUGAGUGCGGGAGAGGAUGGUGGAAUUCCCAGUGUAGAGGUGAAAUUCGUAGAUAUUCGCAAGAACACCAGUGGGCGAAGGCGGCUGACUGGUCCGGUUCUGACGCUGAGGCGGCGAAAAGCUAGGGGAGCAAACGGGG
rnacentral:rRNA from 1 species